UACGUAGGGGGCAAGCGUUAUCCGGAAUCAUUGGGCGUAAAGCGCGUGUAGGCGGUUCAGUAAGUCCGCUCUGAAAGCCCAGGGCUCAACCCUGGGAGGCGGGUGGAUACUACUGAACUAGAGUACGGAAGAGGAGAUUGGAAUUCCUGGUGUAGCGGUGAAAUGCGCAGAUAUCAGGAGGAACACCAACAGCGAAGGCAGAUCUCUGGGACGUAACUGACGCUGAGACGCGAAAGCGUGGGAGCAAACAGG
rnacentral:rRNA from 1 species